GACGAACGCUGGCGGCGUGCUUAACACAUGCAAGUCGGACGAGAAAGGGAGCUUCGGUUCCUGAGUAAAGUGGCGCACGGGUGCGUAACACGUAAGUAAUCUACCCUAGACACUGGGAUAACUUCCCGAAAGGGAGGCUAAUACCGGAUAGGUCCUUACGACAACAGUUAUAAGGGGAAAGCAGGCCUCUGUUUCAAGCUUGCAGUCUAGGAUGAGCUUGCGGCUCAUUAGCUAGNGGUAGGUAAAGCUACCAAGGCGACGAUGGGUAGCUGGUCUGAGAGGAUGAUCAGCCACACUGGCAC
rnacentral:rRNA from 1 species